UCGAGAAUAUUCCCCAAUGGCCGAAAGGCUGAGGGAGCGACGCCGCGUGCAGGAAUAAGGCCUUCGGGUCGUAAACUGCUUUUGCCGAGGAAGAAUCAUGACGGUACUCGGAGAAUAAGAGGUUGCUAACUCUGUGCCAGCAGCAGCGGUAAUACAGAGACCUCAAGCGUUAUCCGGAUUUAUUGGGCGUAAAGGGUCCGCAGGUGGCUUUUCACGUCGAUGGUUAAAUUUUAGGGCUCAACCCUGAAAC
rnacentral:rRNA from 1 species